GACUGUUGCUAAAUGUGGCCAACUUACUCUCAAUAUACAGACAUGAAUUUAAGUUCCUCAUUGCAUAUUUGACAUGGAUCCAGUGUUACUACAAUGCAUUUAUAGCUUUUCGAAGUCUGAUACGCUCAUAAUGAAAGGAAAGUCGGGACAUUUACAGUUGUCUAUUCAUCCAACUACCUAUGCACCCUAGUCUACCACUGAGCCACCCGGGGUCAGCUGGUAUUGUCAGACACCACCUAUGCAGGUAGGCUGCAAGCAAUGAAAUGAGUCUACGUGUGUUUCUGGAGUUAAUUCCACUGCUUGUUCUGCUGGAUACUGCUCACAUACGGCCUUGUGAGUCAGCUUCAGUUCUUGCCACCAACAGACGUGUUCCUGUCGAAGGUGUCAGUUUCAGCAUCACCUGUACACUAGAUGCAGCUAUCAGUGGAUCUGCUCUCUUCUACAAGGGUCUUACUUCUAACCAGGAGGCUGCUUAUCAUCAGGCAGGUGUGGGACAUCUGUGUCAGGAUACAAUGUGAGUCUGGACAGUACAUCCAGGAUCCUGACUCUAGACAUCGCGUCAGCAAAUUCCACCAGAGACAGCGGGACAUGGACAUGUACUGAUGGUGCUACAUCAUCUAACAGCAUAACACUGUCACAGUUUGCAGCUGUACUGGACUGGGGCUCUGUGACCUUCUCUCCACUACUGACCUCUCUUCCGUCGUCCGUGACACCACAAAACACCAUCUCCGUCACUGUGACCACGCCGUGUGCUGCCCUGCCGCCGUCAUCACAUGGAGAUACCAACAGGGUUUGAGUGGCGUCCCUCCCAGCAAUACUACUUCCACCCAGGGAUCAUGUCCAUCAGGUCAGGUCCAGACAACCAACACUCUGUCUCUACCAGGGGAACACAGUCAGUCUCUACAACAGGCAGUUGUCUCUCACUGUCAGUGUGGAACAUGACUCCUUUGAUCCUCCCACGUAUACCAAGUCUGUCACUUCAAACACCAUACAGUUCCCUGUUGGACCAGAGCAGGUUGAUGUAACAAUGCCAGAGAACAAUGUAACUUUAGAGAACAUAAAUAUCACUUUGACCUGUGGUACCACCGGUUACCCCAACCUGACCUUCACCUGGGACUACAGUGAUGGAACACCCGUAGGUGGCAGCACAGGACCUGUAGCAGAAUCUUCUACUUGGUGGUCCCAGACUCUUAUCUUCAGGCCAAACAAAGGCAAGACAAGUGUGAGGUGUCAAGUCAGAAACACCAUAACAUCGACAGCUAAGACUGGUUCUGUGUCACUGGAUGUCAAAUAUCCCCACGUGUCCCUCCCUCCAUCACACAGUUUCCGGCUCUGAUGUUUGAAGGAGACCCACAGACAAUCAGCUGCUCGGUGACAGGAGGAAAUCCUCUAGCUACACAAUCACAUGGUCCUGUCCUGGCACUGGAUCAGCAUCGGUCAGUGACAGUGGUCAGACCAGGACAUCUACUCUCUCCUUUACUGUCAGCAGGAGUCAGAAUGGUCAACAGUGUCAGUGUCUGGGGGCGUGGCAGUAUGGUGGAUACAACUACACUGAUGCCAGGACAUUCAACGUCAGCUGUCCCACAAACCGACAACCAAUCAAAGCCGAUUGUAACAUGACAGGUGCAAUAGCAGGAACCGCAAUAGGGGAACCCUACUUCUUACCUUACUGAUUGGAGGACUAGUUCUGGCUGUCCUCUAUAGGAAGGGUUCAGGUUUGGAAACGUCAUGAAAGGUAUGUUGUUAAAUCUCAUUGGCAAGAAGUAGUGUGCCGUGAUGUUAUAUUUCAACGUGAAUUUAAUUGAUCACGAUGGUGGACGUGAAAGUUAUCUGUGAACCUGGUACUGUAUGCACAAACAAUAAAUACAUAUAAAUGCAGUUGAUGCUAAGCAGCAUGUCUGUCAUAACCGUUUCACAUGAUUCAUGGUUCCUUUGCAUCAGUAACCAACAAUUUCCAGAUUGCAUGAGUCAUCAUGUGCGGUGUGUGUUUUUCGUUGAACUAUAUAUGGAUUGUCUUCUUUUCAGAAAAUGCUUCCCCAAAAGGUACACCAGAUUGAUAAAUCGUCCGUUUUGAAAGAAUUGGCUUUAAAAUACUUAAAAUGUAAUUUAUAAUCAGAUAUUAAUAUCAAAUAAAAUAAGUAUGCGUUUCCAUUAUGAGAUCCAUGACAUAUCUCAUUCACUUUUGUAGCACUAGAAGCCCUGAAUUUGAAGAAAAUGAAAACAUAGGAUAUUCCUCCUAGAUCACAUCAACAGUCCAGCUAGGCCCCUCAAGCGUGGAUACAGAGGGUUCGGAAAGACAACAUUACACACAGCUGAAGGUGUAUGAGAAUACAAACGUCGUGGCCAAAUCAGAGACAAGUACCUACGAAAACAUGACAGAGACGCCUCCAGUACCAUACGAGUCCAUCAGCGCAUCUCCAUACCAGAACAGCGGCGCUCAACCUUGAGAUCCUGACUACGGGAAUACGUAAACCAAACAA
rnacentral:misc_RNA from 1 species